GCCCCGUUCGUCUAGCGGCCUAGGACGCCGGCCUCUCACGCCGGUAACACGGGUUCAAAUCCUGUACGGGGUACAA
rnacentral:tRNA from 1 species